AAGUUAAAAUUGAAAUUUGAAUGUGUUUUUAUGUAUAGAGUACAUAAAAACAUUACAUUUACAAAUGCUAUAAGAAAAGGCACACAGAAAUAUGUAGGCAUUUUUAAUUUUUGGAGUUUCUCAUAAAUUCACAAUCCGCUGAUCUUAUCACAAGCAGUGUUUUCAUCUAAAUUUUGUAUUGACCACUGCGGCAAGAUGUUUUAACUUAUUCUUUAACAAAUAUCUCAUAUUACUAUUCAUGUUUGAAUAUCACUUGAAAAAUAUAAUAGGGUGACUAUAAUAAUAAUAAUAAUAAUUUUAUUUCAAUUACUGCUCCAGCAUUGCGUCUUCCCCCACUGAGUAAAUAAUUACGCAAACUGUCAUUGCUGUGUCCAGAUGUCCCGCUGGUGUCACUGAGGCCAAGCAGAACGUGUCCCGUUACCUUCAUCAAUAUUAUAUCAGCGCCUGUCGCAGCGCGGGGGCCACAUGAAAAUGAUUAACCCAAAACCUUUUAUUGACUUUCAGGAAGUUUAAAUGUCGGUCGCUGAUGGCGCAUUGUGUCUGAUUCUUUUCUCUGAGCCGAGGGGGCAAAAACACCAUAAAGCAGCUCACACAGAGGGAACCUCAGAGCAGCUGCUUAAUAUUAUUCUCCGGGCACGAGUAGUUUGUAAACUGUGAAUACGUGGGAACCCAGCACGUGACGGAGGCCUGCGCCAAGCAUUCAUCCACCACGCGCGUGACAAUGUGUCAGAGGGGGGUCUGCUGUUUUAGUGAAUCCCACAUACAGACUCCCGUUUAUUCUAUAAACAAAUACACCCAAUAUUCGUUUGUAAAGAGCGUUUAACUUAUAUCGCUUCGAAUAAAGUGCUUACUUUGUUUACUUAGCUCCUCUUAGAGUUCAGCACAGACCUUCAGGCUCACACCAAAUCAUCCUCAUUGGUCAUGAAUCCAUAUUUAAUGCGGGCUGCUCGUGGAAGUGGGAGUGUCUUGCCUUAAGUUUUGCAGUCACUUGAUUGCUGUCGUUGUCGGUGGGGGUAAAGCGACUGUUAGGCGAGGAGCGGGUGUGGGGAGGGCGGUCUGUACUACAGUCUGCGUGCCUUGUGGACACCGCUGCUCCUGGUGGCGCAACACAAACCGUCCGCGCACACAGACCGCGCAGCAGAGAGACGGGAGGACACAGAGCAGGAGGGAGGCGUCCCGCUCCUAAAGCAAACAUAUUUGCAACCUCCAGCACAGACUUCUUAAUAUUUAUCCGGCAUUUAUUCGAUCACAGUCACUCGAUUUCGGAGGUGAUCUGAACAGGACCGUCAAAGCCUCCAGGUCUCCAAGGAUGGACUCCAUACCUACGGGACGAGACACCACUAGCUCUUCGCCAAGCUCCAAACAAGAACUUUCCUACCCCAGUACCAACUUGAAACCCAACCAGGUCGGCGAGACGAUUCUGUACGGAAUACCCAUCGUGUCUUUGGUGAUAGAUGGCCAGGAGAGACUUUGCCUUGCGCAGAUAUCAAACACGUUGUUGAAGAAUUACAGCUACAACGAGAUCCACAACCGACGCGUGGCCCUGGGCAUCACCUGCGUCCAGUGCACCCCGGUGCAGCUAGAGAUCCUGCGGAGAGCCGGGGCGAUGCCAAUCUCUUCCCGGCGCUGCGGGAUGAUCACCAAACGGGAGGCUGAGAGACUCUGUAAGUCGUUUCUGGGAGCGCACUCGCCUCCAAAACUUCCCGAAAAUUUCGCCUUCGACGUGUCUCACGAGUGCGCCUGGGGAAGUCGAGGAAACUUCAUCCCGGCCAGACACAACAGCUCCAGAGCCAAGUGCAUCAAGUGCUCCUACUGCAACAUGUAUUUCUCCCCGAAUAAAUUUAUAUUUCACUCCCAUCGCACGCCGGAGUCAAAGUACACGCAACCGGAUGCCGCUAAUUUCAACUCCUGGAGGCGACACCUCAAGCUGACAGACAAGAGCAGUCCCUUGGAGAUCAUGCACGCGUGGGAAGACGUGAAGGCCAUGUUCAACGGGGGAAGUCGCAAGAGGACGCUGCCGGGGAGUGGAUCUGGGUCCAACUCUCCUCUAAAACUGCAUGGGCCAAAUCGAUCCCGAGACUCGCCGGAGAUCCCCGCAAAAAUCCUCAGCUGCGAAGACACUCGGGGUGCUAUGACCAGCGCCCGCAGCUACCCGGUCAUUCCGGUGCCCAGUAAAGGCUUCGGGAUGCUACAGAAAAUCCCUCCGCCGCUCUUCCCUCAUCCCUAUGGCUUCCCUGCUUUCGGUCUGUGCCAGAAGAAGGAUGACGGGAUAAUGGGCGAGCAGAGCAAAGCGGGGCUGCCGGGCGUCCUGUGGCCUGGCACCAAGGACAGCGCCUACCCCUCCUUCCCCAUGUUCUGGCCCGCUGCGGGCCCGCUGCCCAUGCCCCCAUACGCACAGACUCCACACAAGCCCCCUCCUGAGCUGCUAUGCCCUAGGCAGAUAGAGGUGGACAUUUCCGAAAGCAGCGACCGCAGCACCAACACGUCCAAAGACAGCGUGGUGGACACCGACCGCUGCUCCAGCACCCAGUCCAUACGUAACGAAGACGACAAAUCCGGGGACGAGGGGAGGCCCACGGAAGGAAUGAGCCUCCCGGCGCGGAAACUCAGCUACGUGUCCGCAUUCAGGCCCGUCAUUAAAGACGCCGACUGCAUCGCCAAGCUGUACGGCAGCAGGGGCGCGUACAACGGCUGCCGCACCGGCUACUCAUCACCUGAUUUUUUAAGCGAGAGCUCCAGCUACCGGUCUGUGUCCCCGUGCGUGGACAGCGAGGGUGAGCCGGACGUAGACGUGGAGACGAACAGAUCGCCAGAGGAGCAGGAGGAUCCCGGGCCUCGGACUCCUCUUGGUUUGGCGCACAGCGCUUCACCGAAAGACUCAGAGUCCUCAAAGGGCGCAGAGGGAAGCGAGAAUGAGGCGCAGAAAAUGAGCCUGCAGGUGGCCCAGUCCUCUGACAGAGAGCUGCAGAGCAAACAGCUACCAGAGCACCACAUAGCAGCACCUUUCACAGAAGUUUACACACCGGACAGAGCUGAGCUGCAACAAAGGAGCAGCCCGUAUCAAUUCAGACCCACCAAUUACCUGACGGCAGUACUGACUACAAACGACGAGAGCGCAAGUAAGGAAGAGCCGUCUUCCACAGUGGAGGAGACUGAAACAAAAUCUUUUAAGAACAUUCUGCUCAGCUUGCUGGCCAUGACUCAUCCCAGUCACCACCUCAACUUUGGCAUGAAUCCCGUGACAAUGAGGGUGCUCCGAGGAGAGCCUUCAAGAGUGGGACAGAGGCUGCAUGGGACAAGCUGUGCCAAUCACUCUGCAAUUAUUACUAUUUGUAAGUGUGUGUGUGUGUGUCUCUGUGUGUGCUAUCCAGGGGCCUUGUGUGGGAGAGGAGCAAGGACACAUGCUGCCGUGUUUCUCUGAGCUUUCCUUGUAAUGCAGAGCUGAACUGAAGCUCUUCAAGGCAGUAAUCUGGAGGUCUUCCAGUGUGCUCUUCCGUCUCCCUGAUGCUGUUUGCUCAACCAACAAACCUCCGAGGCCCUCACACAACAGCUGCAUUUAUA